rnacentral:tRNA from 1 species
GUCAAGACGGCCGAGUGGUCUAAGGCGUCAGUUUCAAGCAUUGGUCCGAAAAGGUGUGGAUUUAAAUUCUACUCUUGGCA